AUCUGAAGCUGGCUCCAGGCUCUAAGCUACCAGCACAGAGCCCAACGCAGGACCCAAACUUAAAAACGACGAUAUCAGACCCGAGCCAAAGGCGGACACUCAACCAACCGAGCCACCCAGAGAGAGAAUCUGAAGCCCGGAGAAGAAAAACAACUGGCUCAAGAUCACAUGGCAGUUUGAACUCUCAGAAUCUCCCAGACAUCUCACACAUAGCCUGGCUGAUUGAUUUGCUGAACUGAGAGACAUAGAAUCCUGAGACCAAGCAGAAGGAACAGCUAGAAAAUGCCUGGGUUCUAGCCCUAGCUCUCUGACUGGAUGCUACGGAUUUAAACAAACCAUUUCCUCUCUUAGA